GACGAACGCUGGCGGCGUGCUUAACACAUGCAAGUCGAACGGAAAGGCCCCUUUGGGGGUACUCGAGUGGCGAACGGGUGAGUAACACGUGAGUAACCUGCCCUUGACUUCGGGAUAACUUCAGGAAACUGGGGCUAAUACCGGAUAGGAAUCCUUGCUGCAUGGUGGGGGUUGGAAAGCUUCGGCGGUUUUGGAUGGACUCGCGGCUUAUCAGCUUGUUGGUGGGGUAGUGGCUUACCAAGGCUUUGACGGGUAGCCGGCCUGAGAGGGCGACCGGCCACAUUGGGACUGAGAGACGGCCCAGACUCCUACGGGAGGCAGCAGUGGGGAAUAUUGCACAAUGGGCGGAAGCCUGAUGCAGCAACGCCGCGUGCGGGAUGACGGUCUUCGGGUUGUAAACCGCUUUCAGCAGGGGCGAAGCUUGUGGUGACGGUACCUGCAGAAGAAGCACCGGCUAACUACGUG
rnacentral:rRNA from 1 species